rnacentral:rRNA from 1 species
ACUGUGCAAAGGUAGCAUAAUCAUUUGUCUCUUAAUUGGAGGCUGGUAUGAAUGAUUGGACGAGGUAGAAGCUGUCUCAUUAUUAUAAUUAUAAUAAUUUAGCUUUUUAGUUAAAAGGCUAAAAUUUUUUUGGAGGACGAGAAGACCCUAUAGAUCUUUAUAAUAUUUAAUUUACUUUUAUUUUGGUUAUAAAUUUUUUAGUAUAUUAUAAAUUAUUUUGUUGGGGUGACAUGAAAAUUUAUUUAACUUUUCAUUUAUUUAAACACGAAUUAGUGAAUAUUUGAUCCAUUUUUAGUGAUUACAAGAAUAAGUUACCUUAGGGAUAA